UCUAACUGGAUGCCUCUGAUGCAUGUC
rnacentral:piRNA from 1 species